rnacentral:rRNA from 1 species
AUUGAACGCUGGCGGCAGGCCUAACACAUGCAAGUCGAGCGGCGCGGCGGUCGGGUAAGUAAUGCCUAUGACUCGGCCUGUUACUGGUGGAUAAGGUUCGGAAACGGGAGCUAAUACCGCAUACUCUCAGACUAACCUAGGUCGGAUUAGCUAGAUGGUGGGGUAAAGGCCUACCAAGUCGACGAUCCGAAACUGGUCUGAGAGGACGAGCAGUCACCCGGGAACGGAGACACGGUCCAGACUCCUACGGGAGGCAGCAGUGGGGAAUAUUGGACAAUGGGCGAAAGCCUGAUCCAGCCAUGCCGCGUGUAUGAAGAAGGUCUUCGGAUUGUAAAGCACUUUAAGUUGGGAGGCGUUACCAACAGAAUAAGCACCGGCUAACUCCGUGCCAGCAGCCGCGGUAAUAC